GAUGAACGCUGGCGGCGUGCCUAAUACAUGCAAGUUGAGCGAACAAGGUUGGUACUUGUACCACCUGGAUUAGCAGCGAACGGGUGAGUAACGCGUGGGGAAUCUGCCUUUGAGCGGGGGACAACAUUUGGAAACGAAUGCUAAUACCGCAUAAAAACUUUAAACACAAGUUUUAAGUUUGAAAGAUGCACUUGCAUCACUCUAAGAUGAUACCGCGUUGUAUUUACUAGGUUGUGAGGUAAAGGCUCACCAAGGCGAAGAUACAUAGCCGACCUGAGAGGGUGAUCGGCCACAUUGGGACUGAGACACGGCCCAAACUCCUACGGGAGGCAGCAGGAGGGAAUCUUCGGCAAUGGACGAAAGGCUGACCGAGCAACGCCGCGGUAGUGAAGAAGGGUUUCCGAUCGUAAAACUCUGUUGGUAGGGAAGAACGUUAGUGAGAGGGGAAAGCGCAUCAAGUGACGGUAACUACCCAGAAAGGGACGGCUAACUACGUG
rnacentral:rRNA from 1 species